AAAUAUUGGGACAUAUAAAAAAGACAACUCUGUUCCGCAGCGUAGGUGUUGACAUUAUAGUUGCGCAGGCACUUUGUUGACUCUAGAGAACCUCGGGCCAAUCGCACAUCCCUGUGGCAGCGACUUUGCAUGCGGAUGUCAUCCAAAUCAACUUUCAAUGCCAGUUUAACAGGGAAUCAGGGUUCCAUUCCGUACAGGGAUCCUGAGAAACGGCUACCACAUGCAAGGAAGGCAGCAGGCGCGCAAAUGACCCACUCCAGAUGCGGGAAGGUAGUGAU